rnacentral:misc_RNA from 1 species
CCGUCAAUUCCUUUGAGUUUUAGUCUUGCGACCGUACUCCCCAGGCGGUCUACUUAUCGCGUUAGCUGCGCCACUAAAGUCUCAAAGACCCCAACGGCUAGUAGACAUCGUUUACGGCAUGGACUACCAGGGUAUCUAAUCCUGUUUGCUCCCCAUGCUUUCGUACCUCAGUGUCAGUAUUAGGCCAGAUGGCUGCCUUCGCCAUCGGUAUUCCUCCAGAUCUCUACGCAUUUCACCGCUACACCUGGAAUUCUACCAUCCUCUCCCAUACUCUAGCCAACCAGUAUCGAAUGCAAUUCCCAAGUUAAGCUCGGGGAUUUCACAUUUGACUUAAUUGGCCACCUACGCACGCUUUACGCCCAGUAAAUCCGAUUAACGCUCGCACCCUCUGUAUUACCGC